rnacentral:rRNA from 1 species
GACGAACGCUGGCGGCGUGCCUAAUACAUGCAAGUCGAACGCAGUGGGGACGGGUGGGUAACACGUGGGUAACCUCCCAUCAGAGCGGAUAACACUUGGAAACAGGUGCUAAACCGAUACUGAUGGAUGGACCCGCGGUGCAUGAGCUAGUUGGUGGGGUAACGGCUCACAAAGGCAACGAUGCAUAGCCGGCCUGGGAGGGUGAUCGGCCACAAUGGGACGGAGACACGGCCCAGAUGCCACCGGGAGGCAGCAGUGGGGAAUCUUCGGCAAUGGAGGAAAGUCUAGUCGGGAAACGCCGCGUGAGUGAAGAAGGUUUUCGGAUCGUAAGACUCUGUUGUUAGAGAAGCGGUAUCUAACGAGAAAGCCACGGCUAACUACGUGCCAGCAGCCGCGGUAAUUC